GCAAGUCGAACGCACUGUUUACAGUGAGUGGCGAACGGGUGAGUAACACGUAGAUAACCAACCCUUUAGACGAGGAUAACCGAUGGAAACGUCGGCUAAUAUUGGAUAGGAUAUAUUGACACAAGUUGAUAUAUUUAAAGGUGGCUUUCGGGCCAUGCUUUAGGAUGGGACUGCGUCGCAUUAGCUAGUUGGUGAGGUAAUGGCCCACCAAGGCAACGAUGCGUAGCUGGGCUGAGAGGCUGAAC
rnacentral:rRNA from 1 species